UGGGGGCGGAUACUGUGAGGAUGAAGAUGAAAAAAAGAAGAAAAGUCCUCCAGACCUCUUACAGCUCAGCCAUAUGUAUGGAAACAGACUUGUUAAAACCAUGAGUCGGAGUCAGUCUAGUUUAUCAGAUAGUCGUGUUCUGGUAAACACGUGUUCCAGGCCCAGCCGACCCCGUCCUGUAUCAGAUACCCAGGCUCCCCAGCUGGUCAACCUGGGUAACCU